rnacentral:lncRNA from 1 species
GUUUGGUGCUCUGAUGGCUAGGCUGCGAUGAACCUGCCGGGUUUACCUGUCGGGCGGGACAUGCAAAUGAGCGCCCGAGGCAGCCUGGCAAUAAAUCAUUGCCUACUGUUGGUAGCAAUGGCUGGAAUUUGGGUGUUAUGGUCUGACCAUUUGGUGAGCUCUGCACUGGAUGAAUCAUUUGAAGAGAUCCAGUGUCUGUUGGGUGAGACAACAGAGAAGCUAGUUUGUUUGCCUGUUCAUCUAUUUGGGCUCAAAUCAAUCAAGACUGUUGUGUGCCACCAAGAAGGUGAAUAGCUCUUUGAUAUCUGAACUAGUAAAUAUUUUGCUUCUGUGUUUUCUCUUGACUCAUGACUGAAAUUUUAGAAUUGAAGCUGUAAACUCUACAUGUCUCUAUGUCUGUAAUUCAGAAAGGUCUCUACCUCUCAUUGUCUGAGUGUAUGAUGUUUUUCUAAAUCUGGAUGGUAUUAGAUUAUCAAAUCUCCUAAAUUAAAAAAGCCUUGUUCUGACUGGCUUAUAAGCGCUUGUAAGUGAAAUGUAGUAUUCCUACAAUUCUCAGAAAGUAAGGAAAUAGAACUUCUAAGUUUUAAAAUGUGCUGGGUUUAAAAAGUAUUUUAAAAGAAAUUAGCUCAGAAACAUUUUAAGAAUUCAAGUUUACACAAUUUAGGUAAAUCUUUCGCAAACUAAACUAGUUUAAUAAUUUGGUUUAAUAAAAACAGCUAUUUCUUC